rnacentral:rRNA from 1 species
GAUGAACGCUAGCGGCAGGCCUAAUACAUGCAAGUCGAACGAGAUUAAGAGGCUUGCUUCUUAUGAAAGUGGCGCACGGGUGCGUAACGCGUAUGCAACCUACCUUAAUCAGGGGGAUAGCCCGAAGAAAUUCGGAUUAAGACCGCAUAAAAACACAGGAUAGCAUUAUCCAAUGUUCAAUUAUUUAUAGGAUUAAGAUGGGCAUGCGUGUCAUUAGCUAGUUGGCGGGGUAACGGCCCACCAAGGCGACGAUGACUAGGGGAUCUGAGAGGAUGACCCCCCAAACUGGUACUGAGACACGGACCAGACUCCUACGGGAGGCAGCAGUAAGGAAUAUUGGUCAAUGGAGGGAACUCUGAACCAGCCAUGCCGCGUGCAGGAAGACAGCCCUCUGGGUCGUAAACUGCUUUUAUUCGGGAAUAAACCUUUCUACGUGUAGGAAGCUGAAUGUACCGAAGGAAUAAGGAUCGGCUAACUCCGUG